GAAGUGAGCUGGAUGGCUGCGGCGUUCGCGUCGAGGAAAGUCCGGGCUCCAAAGGGCAUGGCGCUGGAUAACGUCCAGGAGGAGCGAUCCUACGGAAAGUGCCACAGAAAGCAAACCGCCUCCCGCUUCGGCGGGCGGUAAGGGUGAAAGGGUGAGGUAAGAGCUCACCGGGCCGGCGGCGACGUCGGUCGCAGGGUAAACCCCGCCUGGAGCAAGGCCAAAUAAAGGGAGAGAGGUUGCCCGCCUCGUUUGAUCCCUGGGUAGGCUGCAUGAGGUCGACGGUAACGGCGGCCCCAGAUAAAUGGUCAUCCAUCCCUUCGGGGGGGACAGAACCCGGCUUAUAGGCUCACUUCCUUU
rnacentral:RNase_P_RNA from 1 species